rnacentral:rRNA from 1 species
UACAGAGGUGCUCGAGCGUUAGGCGGAAUCACUGGGCUUAAAGCGUGUGUAGGCGGAUUGCUAAGUACCUUGUGAAAUCCCACGGCUUAACCGUGGAACUGCUUGGUAUACUGGCUGUCUUGAGCCGCUUAGGGGCAACCGGAACAAACGGUGGAGCGGUGAAAUGCGUAGAUAUCGUUUGGAACGCCAAUGGUGAAAACAGGUUGCUGGGAGUGUGCUGACGCUGAGACACGAAAGCCAGGGGAGCAAACGGG